UGGNGGCAUGCUUAACACAUGCAAGUCGCACGGACCCUUCGGGGUUAGUGGCGCACGGGUGAGUAACACGUAGGAAUCUGUCUUGAGGUGGGGGAUAACUCCGGGAAACUGGAGCUAAUACCGCAUGAUAACUGAGGUUCAAAGGUCGCAAGACCGCCUUGAGAGGGGCCUGCGUUCGAUUAGUUAGUUGGUGGGGUAAUGGCCUACCAAGACGAUGAUCGAUAGCUGGUUUGAGAGGAUGAUCAGCCACACUGGGACUGAGACACGGCCCAGACUCCUACGGGAGGCAGCAGUGGGGAAUAUUGGACAAUGGGGGCAACCCUGAUCCAGCAAUGCCGCGUGUGUGAAGAAGGUCUUCGGAUUGUAAAACACUUUCGUUGGGGACGAUGAUGACGGUACCCAAAGAAGAAGCCCCGGCUAACUUCGUGCCAGCAGCCGCGGUAAUACGAAGGGGGCGAGCGUUGCUCGGAAUAACUGGGCGUAAAGGGCGCGUANGCGGCCGAUAGCUGUCAGAUGUGAAAUUUUUGGGCUCAACCCGAAAACUGCAUUUGAUACGUAUUGGCUAGAGUGCGAGAGAGGAUUGCGGAAUUCCCAGUGUAGAGGUGAAAUUCGUAGAUAUUGGGAAGAACACCAGUUGCGAANGCGGCAAUCUGGCUCGUUACUGACGCUGAG
rnacentral:rRNA from 1 species